CCUACGGGUGGCAGCAGUCGAGAAUUUUUCACAAUGGGGGAAACCCUGAUGGAGCGACGCCGCGUGGAGGACGAAGGCCUUCGGGUUGUAAACUCCUGUCAUGCGGGAACUAGUACCGCAAGAGGAAGAGACGGCUAACUCUGUGCCAGCAGCCGCGGUAAUACAGAGGUCUCAAGCGUUGUUCGGAUUCAUUGGGCGUAAAGGGUGCGCAGGCGGCGUGGUAAGUUGAGUGUGAAAUCUCGGGGCUUAACCCCGAAACUGCACUCAAUACUGCCAUGCUUGAGGACUGUAGAGGAGAUCGGAAUUCACGGUGUAGCAGUGAAAUGCGUAGAUAUCGUGAGGAAGACCAGUUGCGAAGGCGGAUCUCUGGGCAGUCCUGACGCUCAUGCACGAAGGCCAGGGGAGCAAACGGGAUUAGAUACCCUUGUAGUC
rnacentral:rRNA from 1 species